CGCUGUUGCGCUGCGCAAACUCGCCGGAGCUCGAAAAAUAUAGCGCAACCUGCGCAACGAACUCGUUUUGAUACUAGAUAAUGAAAGCAUAUUUAAUUCAGAUUAUCAGACUCAAUCGGAUACCAGUACAAAUAAUAUGGAAAAUGAAGAUACAAUACAUGGAAGACGAAUUAUAGAUUUUAGUUUUUUUAUAAAUCAAUUACUUAUACCUAAUUGAUAAACGUGGUGAAAAGUUUGGUUGUCGAUUAAAUAAUUUAAAAAUUGUAAACG